AGAGUGAACGCUGGCGGCAGGCCUAACACAUGCAAGUCGAACGGCAGCACAGGGGAGCUUGCUCCCUGGGUGGCGAGUGGCGGACGGGUGAGGAAUGCGUCGGAAUCUGCCUUUUCGUGGGGGAUAACGUAGGGAAACUUACGCUAAUACCGCAUGCGACCCAUCACCGGGAGGUGUUGGGUGAAAGCGGGGGACCUUCGGGCCUCGCGCGGAAAGAUGAGCCGACGCCGGAUUAGCUAGUUGGCGGGGUAACGCCCACCAAGGCGACGACUCCGUAGCGUGGUCUGAGAGGAUGAUCGAGCCAACACGUGGAACUGAAGACCGACGGUCCAGACCUUCCGACGGGAGCAGCGAGGUAGGGAAUUAGUAGGAACAAGGUGGGCGACAACG
rnacentral:rRNA from 1 species